UUUGGUGGCGAUGGCGGAAGGUAACCACACGCACCAUCCCGAACACGGCCGUUAAGCCUUCCUAUUGCCGAUGGUACUUGGACCCCAGCGGUCCUCGGGGAGAGUAGGACGUUGCCAAGC
rnacentral:rRNA from 1 species